AGGACGAACGCUGGCGGCGUGCUUAACACAUGCAAGUCGAGCGGUAAGGCCUUUCGGGGUACACGAGCGGCGAACGGGUGAGUAACACGUGGGUGAUCUGCCCUGCACUUCGGGAUAAGCCUGGGAAACUGGGUCUAAUACCGGAUAUGACCUCCUAUCGCAUGGUGGGUGGUGGAAAGAUUUAUCGGUGCAGGAUGGGCCCGCGGCCUAUCAGCUUGGUUGGUGGGGUAAUGGCCUACCGAAGGCGACGACGGGUAGCCGACCUGAGAGGAUGACCAGCCACAGUUGGGACUGAGAC
rnacentral:rRNA from 1 species